rnacentral:misc_RNA from 1 species
AACACUGUUAACCUGCGGUACCUGCGGAGGGAUCAUUACAGAGUGUUCUACCCCCCCAUAAAAAGGGGGUGGGUUUAACCUCCCGUCCUUUGCUGGACCCCCCGUUUUGGGGGGCCUUUCAAAUCUUUCUGCUUCGGCGGGGUUCACCCGCCGGAACACCCUCAAAAAAAUUCUUGGUCAAAACCGUUCAGUCCGAGAAACUUUUAAUGGGUUAAAAAACUUUCAACAACGGAUCUCAGA